rnacentral:snRNA from 1 species
GUGCUUGCUUCGGCAGCACAUAUACUAAAAUUGGAACGAUACAGAGAAGAUUAGCAUGGCCUCUAUCAUAUUCAGACAGGAACUUUCUCUCAGAGCUCCUCCACAGAUAA